rnacentral:rRNA from 1 species
UCAGAUUGAACGCUGGCGGCAGGCCUAACACAUGCAAGUCGAGCGGUAACAUUUCUAAGCUUGCUUAGAGGAUGACGAGCGGCGGACGGGUGAGUAAUGCUUGGGGAUCUGCCUGAUGGCGGGGGACAACCACUGGAAACGGUGGCUAAUACCGCAUAAUACCUAUGGGUCAAAGUGUGGGACCUUCGGGCCACACGCCAUCAGAUGAACCCAAGUGAGAUUAGCUGGUUGGUAAGGUAUCGGCUUACCAAGGCGACGAUCUCUAGCUGGUCUGAGAGGAUGAUCAGCCACACUGGGACUGAGACACGGCCCAGACUCCUACGGGAGGCAGCAGUGGGGAAUAUUGGACAAUGGGGGCAACCCUGAUCCAGCCAUGCCGCGUGUGUGAAGAAGGCCUUCGGGUUGUAAAGCACUUUCAGUGGUGAGGAAGGUGGUGUCGUUAAUAGCGGCAUCAAUUGACGUUAGCCACAGAAGAAGCACCGGCUAACUCCGUGCCAGCAGCCGCGGUAAUACGGAGGGUGCGAGCGUUAAUCGGAAUUACUGGGCGUAAAGCGCACGUAGGCGGUAUGUUAAGCAAGAUGUGAAAGCCCAGAGCUCAACUCUGGAAUAGCAUUUUGAACUGGCAUGCUAGAGUUUUGGAGAGGGUGGUAGAAUUUCCAGUGUAGCGGUGAAAUGCGUAG